rnacentral:rRNA from 2 species
UGAGGAAUAUUGGUCAAUGGGCGAGAGCCUGAACCAGCCAAGUAGCGUGCAGGAUGACGGCCCUAUGGGUUGUAAACUGCUUUUAUGUGGGGAUAAAGUGCGUGACGUGUCAUGCAUUGCAGGUACCACAUGAAUAAGGACCGGCUAAUUCCGUGCCAGCAGCCGCGGUAAUACGGAAGGUCCGGGCGUUAUCCGGAUUUAUUGGGUUUAAAGGGAGCGUAGGCUGUCUAUUAAGCGUGUUGUGAAAUAUACCGGCUCAACCGGUGGCUUGCAGCGCGAACUGGUCGACUUGAGUAUGCAGGAAGUAGGCGGAAUUCAUGGUGUAGCGAUGAAAUGCUUAGAUAUCAUGACGAACUCCGAUUGCGCAGGCAGCUUACUGUAGCAUAACUGACGCUGAUGCUCGAAAGUGCGGGUAUCAAACAGG